UGUGUUGUGUGCUGUUGCCGCGUAUUCUUCAUUUGGUUCUUUUUGGUUUCAAGGCAUGGUCGUAAAGGAGCUUUUUGUACUUCUCUUGGCCUCAUAUUCCACCACGUUGGAAUGUAAGCUACCUGUCCUCAGCCUUCGAGUUUUGAGUAUCCAAAAGUUUUUAUGGACGAAAGAACAAAUAUGGACAUUCAAUACAACCAAGCCUUCAAGAAAUCGGUGCCAAGUGGACGAACUCAAGAAUAUGAAGAAGACAUCGAUCUAUUUCAUGAGAUGCUUUUAUAUGAACAUGAAAAAAAUCUGCAUAAAGAAAUUGGGAAAAUUCAGUCGCUUUCGCCCUCAACGCAUGGAGAUUGAUAUGACAGGCCGUAAUUAUACCGUGCACGAGGAUAUACUCUACGCGAGUAAAACCUUUGGAUGUGCCGUGAUUAUGGUUACGACGAAACAACUGAAAAGAAGGAUCACGUUCGAUUUGCGAGUAAGAAAUUCAUCGUUAGCCGAAGGUCAUAUCAGAGGUUGCAGAAAAAUGUUCAGUAAGUAUGAGAAGAGAGGGGGUCAAAUUUUGUAUACAGACGCAUGCCAGAAUAUAUUUAAA